rnacentral:rRNA from 1 species
UGCAGUCGUGCGAGAAGUCACCUUCGGGUGGGGAGUAAAGCGGCGCACGGGUGAGUAACGCGUGGGUAAUCUGCCUUCGGGUCCGGGACAACUCCGGGAAACUGGAGCUAAUACCGGAUAAGACCACGGCGUCUUCGGACACUGUGGAAAAAGGUGGCCUCUUCUUGAAAGCUACCGCCCGUAGAUGAGCCCGCGUCCCAUUAGCUUGUUGGUGAGGUAACGGCUCACCAAGGCGACUAUGGGUAGCUGGUCUGAGAGGAUGAUCAGCCACACUGGGACUGAGACACGGCCCAGACUCCUACGGGAGGCAGCAGUCGGGAAUUUUGGGCAGUGGGCGCAAGCCUGACCCAGCAACGCCGCGUGAGGGAUGAAGGCCCUCGGGUCGUAAACCUCUGUCGGAAGGGAAGAAGGGUGGAGAGGCGAACAGGCUCUUCGCUUGACGGUACCUUCAAAGGAAGCACCGGCUAACUCCGUGCCAGCAGCCGCGGUAAUACGGAGGGUGCAAGCGUUGUUCAAAUUACUGGGCGUAAAGAGCGUGUAGGCGGCUUGGUCAGUCGGAUGUGAAAUCCCGGGGCCCAACCCCGGAACUGCAUCCGAUACUGCCUGGCUUGAGUCUCGGAGAGGAAGGCGGAAUUCCGGGUGUAGAGGUGAAAUUCGUAUAUAUCCGGAGGAACACCAGCGGCGAAGGCGGCCUUCUGGACGAUGACUGACGCUGAACGCGAAAGCGUGGGUAGCAAACAGGAUUAGAUACCCUGGUAGUCCACGCCGUAAACGUUGAGUGCUGGACGUCGGAGGUAUUGACCCUCUUUCGGUGUC